UACGGAGGGUGCAAGCGUUAUCCGGAUUCACUGGGUUUAAAGGGUGCGUAGGUGGGUUGGUAAGUCAGUGGUGAAAUCCCCGAGCUUAACUUGGGAACUGCCAUUGAUACUAUCAGUCUUGAAUAUUGUGGAGGUAAGCGGAAUAUGUCAUGUAGCGGUGAAAUGCUUAGAUAUGACAUAGAACACCUAUUGCGAAGGCAGCUUACUACGCAUAUAUUGACGCUGAGGCACGAAAGCGUGGGGAUCAAACAGG
rnacentral:rRNA from 1 species